GCUCCUGCAGUGGGUUCCUUGUGGUCACCAGGGUGUGCUGGACAAAGCCUGCGGCAGGCAGUGUGGUCCUGGGGUCUCCGAUCAUCUGGGACAUGCUUCAGGGGUCCCUGCUGUUGGAAAGGCUCGAUCCUGAGGGGCAGUAGACAAUUUCUCUGACUGUUGGUGAAGCCAGCGCUGACCUCCACUGAGCUGCCAGCGGAGCAGAACACAGGCAGGCAGUCCGGGUACCCAGGUGCAGGCAAACGCACCCACAGGUGUGUCUAAGAGGGCCCAGGUACGACCUGAGGACAGAGCACGGCACCUCACGGCACCUCACGGCACUCGGCCCCACGCACCUGCAGUGCUCUCUGAGUCAGGGGCCCGCAGCCUCCAGCCUCCGCUGGUCAGGAAGGAGGGGCCUCGGCGUGUCUGCUGCUCCCCAGGGCAUCUCCGCCCAAGGACAAGUUACCACUCUUUUAUAACAAUAUUAAAGUCAGCAACAUCUAUUCCACCCCAAAGCCCGAAAACCACAGACCUAAUCUGGGCAGGCCCGCCGUCCUGGUGACUGGAAGGACAGGAAGAUGAGUAACCGCCAGCAGACGGGAGCGGCGCUCAGCACCCAGACGCUGGGAGUGGGACGCGGAGCCAGCACCACCCACGUGGCAGCGCCUGCUCCUCAUGGUCCCCGCAGGCAGGCUCGGGGGCGCGCUCCAUGAGCCCUUCUCGGGCUCUGAACUCUCGGCUUGAAAAGCAAAUGUGUUCACUCCAUGGGGACAAUAAACUGAUUAACU